AAUAUUGGACAAUGGGGGCAACCCUGAUCCAGCCAUGCCGCGUGUGUGAAGAAGGUCGUCGUAUUGGAAAGCACUUUAAGUUGGGAGGAAGAGUUGUAGGCUAAUACCUUGCAAUUUUGACGUUACCAACAGAAUAAGCACCGGCUAACUCUGUGCCAGCAGCCGCGGUAAUACAGUGGGUGCAAGCGUUAAUCGGAAUUACUGGGCGUAAAGCGCGCGUAGGUGGUUCAGUAAGAUGGAAGUGAAAUCCCCGGGCUUAACCUGGGAACUGCUUUCAUAACUGCUGAGCUAGAGUACGGUAGAGGGUAGUGGAAUUUCCUGUGUAGCGGUGAAAUGCGUAGAUAUAGGAAGGAACACCAGUGGCGAAGGCGACUACCUGGACUGAUACUGACACUGAGGUGCGAAAGCGUGGGGAGCAAACAGG
rnacentral:rRNA from 1 species